rnacentral:rRNA from 1 species
AACUUCGGUUUUAAAGUAGUGGCAAACGGGUGAGUAAUGCGUAGAAACGUACCUUUUUGUUUGGGAUAACAAUUGGAAACGAUUGCUAAUACCAAAUGUGUCCUAUAGAAGGGAUUCUUGUGGAGAAAGAUUUAUUGCAAAAAGAGCGGUCUGCGUCAGAUUAGGUAGUUGGUUGGGUAAAAGCUAACCAAGCCUAUGAUCUGUAGCUGGUCUGAGAGGACGUACAGCCACAUUGGGACUGAGAUACGGCCCAGACUCC